AAUCGUGGUGAUGACUUCGUAAUAUUCAAGCUCAACAGACCGGAAUGCAGGAUUUUUCUUGUUUUCUCAUGGAAAGUUUUGCGUGUCGAUAAUCCCGCUGAACUGAGCGAUC
rfam:Arabis alpina cultivar Pajares Aa.chr8_contig_5822, whole genome shotgun sequence.